rnacentral:misc_RNA from 1 species
AGAAGCAGUAUGCACAGGAGCGAUG